UACAUUUCUGGUAAUGGAAUAUAUGUAAUUAUGGGGGUUAAACUGAAUAGAAACUAAUAGUUGUGGUGAUAAAAGGAAAUAUAAGGUUUAAGAGGGUGUUAAACAAAAAAUGAAAGAAAGAAAAAAAAAAGAUCGACCAGGGGAGCCUGGUGUGAUGUCGAGCAGGAGAAAAGAAGAAGAGGGAGCCAAUUUCAUCAUGACAAUCACAAAAUUGGAUGGUUAAAACCCCAACUCUGCUCUCUUUGAUCAAUUUCUAGCAUUCUUGAUAGGUGAAAUAACGUCUGGAUGGCAACGAGUCAAACGAGUAAUAAAGCAACAACACUCCUACGGGCGAAGGUGAUAAGUCAUGAAAAUCAACGGGGUGACUUGAACCGGAAUCAUGAAAGAAGAAAAGACUCGCAAGUCAUUCACAAAUAAUUCGGUUCAAUCAAUAUAUUAGUUAUUAUUAUGCUUACCAUAGUUUUUCGUUCGACGCUAAUGAUAUGGUAAUGUUAUAUGACAGUUUGGGGUGGUAGAAAGGCGAAAGUGAUCAAGUCUUGGAAGCGGGUCAAAGAUAGGAGGAUUUAGUGAUAUGUUCACUAAGUAUAGAGGUUUCCUUAUUGGGCCAAUUAGACUUAAUUAUUUGUAUUUUGGAGUUUAAGUCCAAUGUUUAUUUUAGCGAAAUGCUAGUAUGUCAAUGUGGUA